GGGCUAGCCAAGGGAGAAUGUCUUCUGGAUGAAGGCUUCUUCUUGAGAAAGUGUGUUCUGUAGCUGGAGACCCUAUUGCUAGUUGAACUGUGUGCUCUAGAGAGACCGAGGAAAUGGAUCACUGAGUAUCAAGCUUCUCUACAGAUGUGUAUUGAUGUACUACAGGUUCAGAUAAUUCUUCACUUUUGCCCAGGGCAUCUCAUAGGCCGUAUCUGUUGAAUGAUUCCAUGAAUGAACUGGAAGAUGAAAUAUAGUGCCUGUCAAUCAUAUUUUACGUGACACAAUUCAGGGAGGGAUUGUAAAUUCAUGGGAGAAUGAGAAUAAAAUACAGCGUAAUCAUCACGCACUGGAAAAGUGGUCUGAAAUCAAUGAAUGGGAUUCACUAAGGAUACUGGCAAAGUGGCUUAUGUAGGAAAUAACAAUCAGAACAAAAUUGAUGAGCUUAAAUGCAACAUGGAAAACUUAAAGUUUAAAAAUGAGGAGAAGAAAAAUCCUGAAUAAUAAUAUGUGAUGGUUACUUUGGAUUUCAUUCAAUUACUGCAAGAGAAGU